GAUGAACGCUGGCGGCGUGCCUAAUACAUGCAAGUCGAGCGAACAGACGAGGAGCUUGCUCCUCUGACGUUAGCGGCGGACGGGUGAGUAACACGUGGAUAACCUACCUAUAAGACUGGGAUAACUUCGGGAAACCGGAGCUAAUACCGGAUAACAUUCUGAACCGCAUGGUUCAACAGUGAAAGACGGUCUUGCUUUCACUUAUAGAUGGAUCCGCGCCGCAUUAGCUAGUUGGUAAGGUAACGGCUUACCAAGGCAACGAUGCGUAGCCGACCUGAGAGGGUGAUCGGCCACACUGGAACUGAGACACGGUCCAGACUCCUACGGGAGGCAGCAGUAGGGAAUCUUCCGCAAUGGGCGAAAUCCUGACGGAGCAACGCCGCGUGAGUGAAGAAGGUCUUCGGAUCGUAAAACUCUGUUAUUAGGGAAGAACAAAUGUGUAAGUAACUAUGCACGUCUUGACGGUACCUAAUCAGAAAGCCACGGCUAACUACGUG
rnacentral:rRNA from 1 species